GAGGAAUUUUUCACAAUGGGCGAAAGCCUGAUGGAGCAAUACCACGUGAACGAUGAAGGUCUUCUGAUUGUAAAGUUCUUUUAUUUAGGAAAAAAAGCAGGAUAGGAAAUGAUUCUGUCGUGAUUGUACUAAUUGAAUAAGUGACAGCUAACUAUGUGCCAGCAGCUGCGGUAAAACAUAGGUCACGAGCAUUAUCCGGAUUUAUUGGGCGUAAAGGAAGCGUAGGUGGAGGAGUUGAUCCAUUGUCAAAAGCAUCUGCUUAACAGGUGUCCGCGAUGGAUAUCGCUUCUCUAGAAUUAGUUAGGGGGUACUGGAAUUCAAUGUGUAGCGGUGGAAUGCGUAGAUAUAUUGAGGAACACCAGAGGCUAAGGCGAGUACCUGGGACAUAAUUGACACUGAGGCUUGAAAGCGUGGGGAGCAAAUGGGAUUAGAUACCCCAGUAGUCCACGCCGUAAACGAUGGGUAUUAGGUAUUUGGUUUAAAACUGAGUGCUGUAGCUAACGCGUUAAAUACCCCGCCUGGGUAGUAUAUAUGCAAAUAUGAAACUCAAAGAAAUUGACGGGGACCUGAACAAGUGGUGGAGCAUGUUGCUUAAUUCGAUAAUACACGCAAAACCUUACCAAGGCUUGUAAUCUACUGCGAAACUAUAGAAAUAUAGUGGAGGNUAUCGGUAUGC
rnacentral:rRNA from 1 species